UAAGGGCGCACGGUGGAUGCCUUGGCACUAGAAGCCGAUGAAGGACGUUACUAACGACGAUAUGCUUUGGGGAGCUGUAAGUAAGCUUUGAUCCAGAGAUUUCCGAAUGGGGAAACCCAGCAUGAGUUAUGUCAUGUUAUCGAUAUGUGAAUACAUAGCAUAUCAGAAGGCACACCCGGAGAACUGAAACAUCUUAGUACCCGGAGGAAGAG
rnacentral:rRNA from 1 species